ensembl:lncRNA
CUUCCUCAAAAAGGCUUGCCACCCACCUUUUCAGGCCUGACUUCGUUCGAGGCUGGGUCUCCACAUCACAUCCUGGGAGCUGGAACUUCCCCAAAACUGGUCCAGUUUCCUUGUCAGGGGCACAGAGAGUCUCCAGUCCAGUGUUUGUUUUCCUGCCUUCUAGCACAUCCACUCACAUCCCAAUAAGAAUGAGUCCUCCCUCCAACAUCCUCAGUUUAUUUUAAAAGCAAAACCAGGCCAGGUUAAAAAUCUUUUCCAUUAAAAUGUGCACACUUCAUCCUGGAUCUUCGAGGCUUCCCUGCUUCACCAGUGUCCUACUAAAAAAAAACAACAACAACCCCUACUUUCUGUUUCCUCUCCCCUUUAUAGAGAAGGGCUCCAAUCAUCCCCAAUCAGCUGCUCCCUGUAUUCAACUCCAAAUAGCUGGCAGCUGGACUAGAGUAGAAUCUCCACUCCCACAUGGGUGUGGCCCACACCUCACAUCAAACACAAAAAAACACCAAAGCAUGCAAUUAAUACAAAACAAAAUCUAAAGAAAUGCCAACCCAAAAGCUUAGGGGGCGAUUCUCUCCAUCCUUUUCCACCAUGCUAUACUCUGUAACAUCUCACAGAGGUUUCACCUGUCGACUGGCAUGUCCUAUGUCUGUUAUCACACGGUAAAUAAAUAAAUAGUGGGUUAACGACUCUCAGUAACAACUCCAAAGCAACUGACCCCACUAGGUGUUGUUGUAGAACUAAAGAACCAAAAUAUCUGCAAAAACCUCAUGAAGUCCAGUUGUGUUUGCCUCUAAGAUUGCCUUCCUGAGCCUGGUUCUGCAAAAGAGCUCUUCCUUUUAAAGGGCGUUCUUCCUUCCUACUACUGCCAACUCCUUGCUCAAAGUAGACUAUUAUGGUUAUCUCUCUCACUUUAUGAAGAUUUCAUCAUUCAAAAUUAAAGGAUUUGAGAUGAGUAUUCAUGCUGUCCUUAUAAUGUGACUUUCCCCACCGCACUUACAGGCUUUUUUUUUUUUAAUGUAAACUGGUGAACACCCGGGCUGUCUACAAACAUCUCAUCUGUUUUAUUGGAAUACAGUACUCAGUUCCUAGUAGUGGUUGUAAAUCAAUACUCAGUAUUCCAGUAAAUACUGGAAAAGUCCAAUUGAUGUGUGUGCAUUGUCUUUGGCUGUGACUUAGAUAAAGAUCAGACUGUAAAAACGCAAGGCGUAUCCAUCGUGCUACGAAUAAGACUUGACAUAGCGAUCACUAUCUUAGUGACGGAUACACUUUUAGUUUUUAUUGAAAAGUUAUAACGUUAGUACUGGUUGAGUGGCUUCAUUAAUACAGAUAUUUAAGCAGAUUUACCCUCUCCUUGUCGGCCUAAAUUAGUCGUCUCACUUUUAGCGUAAACGUUAAGCCCAGACGUGUCACGCAGAGGAUUUCAU